rnacentral:rRNA from 1 species
AACGAACGCUGGCGGCAUGCCUAACACAUGCAAGUCGAACGAGACCUUCGGGUCUAGUGGCGCACGGGUGCGUAACGCGUGGGAACCUGCCCUUAGGUUCGGAAUACUCCCCGAAAGGGGUGCUAAUACCGGAUAAUGUCUUCGGACCAAAGAUUUAUCGCCUUUGGAUGGGCCCGCGUUGGAUUAGCUAGUUGGUAGGGUAAAAGCCUACCAAGGCGACGAUCCAUAGCUGGUCUGAGAGGAUGAUCAGCCACACUGGGACUGAGACACGGCCCAGACUCCUACGGGAGGCAGCAGUGGGGAAUAUUGGACAAUGGGCGAAAGCCUGAUCCAGCAAUGCCGCGUGAGUGAUGAAGGCCUUAGGGUUGUAAAGCUCUUUUAACCGGGAUGAUAAUGACAGUACCGGGAGAAUAAGCGCCGGCUAACUCCGUG